rnacentral:rRNA from 1 species
UACGUACCGUCCAAACGUUAUUCGGAAUUACUGGGCUUAAAGGGUAUGUAGGCGGCGCUGUUAGUCGGGUGUGAAAAUCCCUCGGCUCAACCCAGGAACUGCGUCCGAUACUGGUUGGCUUGAAUCCGGGAGAGGGACGUGGAAUUCCAGGUGUAGCGGUGAAAUGCGUAGAUAUCUGGAGGAACACCGGUGGCGAAGGCGACGCCUUGGACCGGCAUU